AGGGAUAUCGCCAAGCGGUAAGGCACCACACUUUGACUGUGGUAUUCGUAGGUUCAAAUCCUGCUAUCCCUGCCA
rnacentral:tRNA from 8 species